rnacentral:rRNA from 1 species
GACGAACGCUGGCGGCGUGCUUAACACAUGCAAGUCGAGCGGAAAGGCCCUUCGGGGUACUCGAGCGGCGAACGGGUGAGUAACACGUGAGUAACCUGCCCCAGACUUUGGGAUAACCCCGGGAAACCGGGGCUAAUACCGAAUAUGGCCCGGUCUCGCAUGAGAUCCGGGUGGAAAGUUUUUCGGUUUGGGAUGGACUCGCGGCCUAUCAGCGUGGUGGUGGGGUAAUGGCCUACCAAGGCGACGACGGGUAGCCGGCCUGAGAGGGCGACCGGGCACGCUGGGACUGAGGCACGGCCCAGACUCCUACGGGAGGGAGCAGUGGGGAAUAUUGCACAAUGGGCGGAAGCCUGAUGCAGCGACGCCGCGUGAGGGAUGACGGCCUUCGGGUUGUAAACCUCUUUCAGCAGGGACGAAGCGUAAGUGACGGUACCUGCAGAAGAAGCGCCGGCCAACUACGUGCCAGCAGCCGCCGUAACAC